UUUGGCAUGGCAUAGAUUUCAUUUAAAUCCUGACAAUUAAUUGAGCUUUGAAGUUUGCAUGUAAAUGAAUUCAAGAAAAUUUAUACUCUGUAUCCUUCUUGAUUGUAUUCUUGUUUAUAAUGCAUAUAUUCUUGGACAUUGAUGGGAAAUUAAGAGAUUGAUCAUAGUUAUUUUCAAUUUGAUUUUAUCUAUCCUUUCUCGAGGACGAGCAAGAGCUAAGUGUGGGGGUAUUUGAUGUAACCAUAUUAUUCGAUAGUUUCACUCACAUUUAACUAGUGUUUUGCCUAUUGUUUUAUGUAUAAAAUGCCUUGAUAUUCUUUGUUUUAUGUUUUGAAGGCACCUUUAGAUGAAAGAUGCAAAAAGGAGUAAAUUGGAGAUAAUUGGCAGAUUUGAUGUUCAGUCGAUGUUUUGUGCAGAGCGUGAGUUCUAAAAAUCGAAACGAAGUGAUUCCAGUGGCAUUAGAAAGAUAACAUCCAUACCUUUCUGGAAAUAUAAGUGAAGAAAAAUAAAAUGACAAAGAGUAUGGAAAUCACAUCCUUCAAAGUCAAAACUCGCAUUCUGCCAGUGUUGACCUUUGUCCAUUCAAAAUUCAAUAUCUGGAGAUGUUGAUAUCCAAUUGAUGCAAACUCAAUUGUUUUGGAUUCCUGACUCAAAUUUGUAUAAACGCUCCAAAUUUCAGCCAAAAACGAUGUCAUAUGAGGGUGAUAUGAUUUUUCAAAGAUGACAGCUGAAUUCUGCCAGCAAACAGGUUUCGUGAAGAAACGAAUCCAAAUUACAUCCCGAAGCAUCAAAACCGACAUCCAAGUUUUAAUUUCAGCAAUUUAGCUCCUCAAGAACAUCAAUCCAGAAGGUCAAGGAAGGCAGCCACCAACCUCAAGCCACCAACCUCAAACCACCAACCAGCUGCCAGCCACCAGCCACCAGCCGCCAGCCGCCAGCCGCCUUCACAC
rnacentral:lncRNA from 1 species